rnacentral:lncRNA from 10 species
UUUUUCUCUUAGUAAUUGUUGAAUUACACCCCCAGUACACAGGCCAAAUGGACUCCCUAUGGCUAAAAUGUUAAGCAGAAUCAAGAGGUUAUGACAUAGUGAGGGAGAGGUCACAUUCUCUGUGUGCUUGGGAAUGUGUUACAAAACCUAGUUUUCUACAACCAAUGCAAAGAAUAGUUCCUGAAAACAACUGCAGGUGGAAAUCGCCCAACUGACCACCAAGAGACCACCUGGUAUCAACCUACCGACCACGUGGACACAGACAAUUGAGAGACUGGUGAUUUGAGCUUAAAGGUCAUCCAAUCAAGACUCUGUUCUUCACUUCUCUGACCUGCCAACCUCUGCCCUUCGGUUUUUGUCUUUAUAAUCUCCUACUCCGUGACUUGUCCUCAGAGCAUACAACUGUUGCACGCCAAAGGCUAUGUUUCUCCAAUCUGGAGGUUGCUUUUAGAAACGAAAAUUCUCCUUUUGCCUCCACAGAUUUCAUUGGUCUUUUGUUAACAUUACUUAUAACAAUUAACUGACAGAGCAAAAUGAAUUUUUAUGGAACAUAACACAAUUUAUGUAAAAAUGCUUUUGUAAGCAUUACAUUACAAAAAAUAGCAUAUUAACACUUAAAUAUUGUAGAAUCCUAAAAUAUAGUGUAAGGAAUAAUUGGACAUGGACUCAAAAGUAAUCUUUAAGGAUGAAUCUCUACUACUUUACCUUAUUUAAAAAAUGAUAUAAAAAUGUCAUUUUAUUUUGAUUUGUAACACGUACAUAGUCAUAUAGCAAAUAUUGGUACCAGAUUAUUGAAAAAGUAAUAAUUGAUCACUGUUAUGUGUUUUCAUUUUCAGACAGUAGUAUUUUAUAGUUUCAGUCAUCUGUCUUGAGAAUUUAAUUGCUCUAACUUUAUAUUUGAUUAAAUAUAGUGAAAUUGCUAUUUGUAAAGUUGUGAAAAAUAGGCAAUAAUAAACAAAAUAUUUUUUACCUGAGACCUUACCAUAAACCUAAAAUUUCUAAAUUAUAAGUAAAAAUUCUUAUAAAUACUAUAUGUGCAGUGAUUAAUAUUAAGUGUCAAGUCGAUUGAAUGGAAGGACACGAAGUAUUUUUUUCUGGUUGUAUCUAGGUGUUUCUGGGUGUUGCCAGAGGAGAUUAACAUUUGAGUCAGUGGACUGGGAGAGGAAGACCCACCCAAAAUUGACUGCCAGCGCAAUUGGAUGCUAGAAAAAACAGACAGAAGUUGGAAGAAGCUGAUUUGCCCAGUCAUCUGGUCUUCAUCUCUCCCAUGCUGGAUGCUUCCUGACUUCAAACAUCAGACUCCAAGUGCUUCAGUUUUUGGACUCUUGAACUUACCCCAGUGGUUUGCUUGGGGCUCUCGGGCCUUUGGCCACAGACUGAAGCCUACACUAUCGGCUUCCCUACUUUUGAGGUUUUGGGACUUGGACUGAGCCACUACUAGCUCCCUUGCUCCUCAACUUGCAGAUGGCCUAUCGUGGGACUUCACCUUGUGAUAGUAUGAGAAUAUCACAACUGCUAUAACAGUGAUUGCCUGAUGUGGACCAAAAUUGAUGGAAGCAGAAACUCAACAAUUGGAUAGACACUGUGUUCUCCAGUUGCCAGCAACACUCAUAGACAUGUCUUAAGUUCCAGGAAGUAAAUUUUGAGCAGGGUAUUGAGAAAUAACAGUUCAUACAGAAAAGUGUGGCUACCAUGCUUAAAGACCUCAGGGAACUCUCUACCGCCUUCCACCAUAUGAGGACAUAGGAAAAAGAGAGCCAUCUAGGAACUAGGAGAUGAGCCUUCAUAAGACACUGAUUCUGCUACCAUUUUGAUCUUGGACUUCCCACCCUUCAAACUGUGAGAUACAAGUUUCUGUUGUGUAUAGGCUACUCACUGUAUGAUAUUUUCCUAUAGCAACCCUGAAAGACUAAGACAAUCAGUGUGCAUUAGAGAUAAGUUAUAUCGAUUAUGAGGACCCCAGAUAAAUUCCCUUUAGUAUUUUUUCCUAUAAGAAAUGAAAAGUAUUUGGCCCUGUAUCUUCCACUAAUCUAAAUAGGCAGUGAAGAAAAUAAUACAACAAAUAUUAUUGCAACAGAAUAACAAGCCUCUAUUUCGACGUGACAGCCUUGAAGUAGAAAGAGAAAUUAAGAGCACUCCUCCAUCUCAUUAGAAAUAGGUCUGCGUAAUAGUAGGGCCUUUAUAAAUUGAUUAAUAACAGAAGCCACAAAGAUGCUGCAUUCUUUUUGUUAGAUGAUACUAUACUAUAACACUCAAGUCAACCCUGGUAAUUUUUCCUGUAAAUUUAAGCCAAAUAAUUCAAAACAGGUGUAUAUUAUUGCUAAAUCAUUAUCCAACUACCUGUCACAGAACAGUUUUGGUGUCAUUAAAUGUCGUUUAUGAUUAUUCCAUGCGUAUUACAAAGAAAGUGCUGGAGUUUACAUUUAUCCCUGUGGAAUAUAAUUUUAUUAUUUGAUUUUAUCCUUCCUCAUGUUUGACAAUAGUUUGGGUUGUUGUAGUUUGUUUUUUGUUUGCUUGGUUUUUUUUCUUGUGUAUUUAUGCUGUCACACAAAAUGUUUGCACCUAUCCCAGCUACGUCUGUUCUGUGCCAUCUGUGCACCUUACUGUCAUAUAGCCUAUGUCAUUGUGCAAGUCAUUAAUAUAAAUAUUGAAAAAGAUUAUCCCCAGGACAUAUGGUUAGAGGCUUCCAUCAUAGCAGAAAGCAAAUCUAAACCUCUAAACUUUGGUUACAGUAGCUUAACAACGUAAGAAGCCAUGCAAUAAUAUUAGAAUUUAAUCCAAAGCUCUUUAUCUCUUUCAUAUACAUACAACCACCAUCACCACUUCCAAAAAAUAGAUAAAACUAGCUGUUGUAGUAAAAAGACUCAUAUUUUCAAGACUAUCUCAAUUGAAAAUUCAAGAGACUAUUUAAAACUCAACAUCAAUAAUUUGUCUUUGUUGUUAUAUACAAAAUCUCUGACCCUGAGGCUGCUGGGUAAGGAGAAAAUUCACUUCUGCAUGAAGGUUGGAGGAAGAGCAAUCAUUAAAAGAAUUCUUGGACAAAGAAAACUCUACUAUUAUCUCAAAAUAUUAUUUACUGUAUCUGCAUAGCCAGAGAACAGGAAAUAAAAUAGGUUGAUUAUAAAAGAUAGCACUGAUUAAUGAUCCUGGGCUGUGCCAUGAAGUCAUUUGUUUCAACGUAAGACAUUCUAGCUUUAUCAUCACCGCUAUUAGGAACUAUGUAUUUUAGGUAAAACAGAGAAUUUGCAUUAGCAGAAUACUGUUCUUUCUUCCACAUAGAGAUAUGUUUUAUAUACAUCAUAUAUAUAAUAUAAAAUAUGUAUAUAUUUAAAAGAUAUAUAUAAAAUCUU